CCACCGGAGCUUGCUCCACCGGAAAAAGAGGAGUGGCGAACGGGUGAGUAACACGUGGGUAACCUGCCCAUCAGAAGGGGAUAACACUUGGAAACAGGUGCUAAUACCGUAUAACAAUCGAAACCGCAUGGUUUUGAUUUGAAAGGCGCUUUCGGGUGUCGCUGAUGGAUGGACCCGCGGUGCAUUAGCUAGUUGGUGAGGUAACGGCUCACCAAGGCCACGAUGCAUAGCCGACCUGAGAGGGUGAUCGGCCACAUUGGGACUGAGACACGGCCCAAACUCUACGGGAGGCAGCAGUAGGGAAUCUUCGGCAAUGGACGAAAGUCUGACCGAGCAACGCCGCGUGAGUGAAGAAGGUUUUCGGAUCGUAAAACUCUGUUGUUAGAGAAGAACAAGGAUGAGAGUAACUGUUCAUCCCUUGACGGUAUCUAACCAGAAAGCCACGGCUAACUACGUGCCAGCAGCCGCGGUAAUACGUAGGUGGCAAGCGUUGUCCGGAUUUAUUGGGCGUAAAGCGAGCGCAGGCGGUUUCUUAAGUCUGAUGUGAAAGCCCCCGGCUCAACCGGGGAGGGUCAUUGGAAACUGGGAGACUUGAGUGCAGAAGAGGAGAGUGGAAUUCCAUGUGUAGCGGUGAAAUGCGUAGAUAUAUGGAGGAACACCAGUGGCGAAGGCGGCUCUCUGGUCUGUAACUGACGCUGAGGCUCGAAAGCGUGGGGAGCAAACAGGAUUAGAUACCCUGGUAGUCCACGCCGUAAACGAUGAGUGCUAAGUGUUGGAGGGUUUCCGCCCUUCAGUGCUGCAGCUAACGCAUUAAGCACUCCGCCUGGGGAGUACGACCGCAAGGUUGAAACUCAAAGGAAUUGACGGGGGCCCGCACAAGCGGUGGAGCAUGUGGUUUAAUUCGAAGCAACGCGAAGAACCUUACCAGGUCUUGACAUCCUUUGACCACUCUAGAGAUAGAGCUUCCCCUUCGGGGGCAAAGUGACAGGUGGUGCAUGGUUGUCGUCAGCUCGUGUCGUGAGAUGUUGGGUUAAGUCCCGCAACGAGCGCAACCCUUAUUGUUAGUUGCCAUCAUUCAGUUGGGCACUCUAGCAAGACUGCCGGUGACAAACCGGAGGAAGGUGGGGAUGACGUCAAAUCAUCAUGCCCCUUAUGACCUGGGCUACACACGUGCUACAAUGGGAAGUACAACGAGUCGCGAAGUCGCGAGGCUAAGCUAAUCUCUUAAAGCUUCUCUCAGUUCGGAUUGCAGGCUGCAACUCGCCUGCAUGAAGCCGGAAUCGCUAGUAAUCGCGGAUCAGCACGCCGCGGUGAAUACGUUCCCGGGCCUUGUACACACCGCCCGUCACACCACGAGAGUUUGUAACACCCGAAGUCGGUGAGGUAACCUUUUGGAGCCAGCCGCCUAAGGUG
rnacentral:rRNA from 1 species